GAAAUGCGAUAAGUAAUGUGAAUUGCAGAAUUCAGUGAAUCAUCGAAUCUUUGAACGCACAUUGCGCCCGCCAGCACUCUGGCGGGCAUGCCUGUUCGAGCGUCAUUUCAACCAUCAAGCCCCCGGGCUUGUGUUGGGGACCUGCGGCUGCCCGCAGGCCCUGAAAACCAUUGGCGGGCUCGCUGUCACACCGAGCGUAGUAGCAAUCACCUCGCUCAGGGCGUGCUGCGGGUUCCGGCCGUUAAACAGCCUUACAAAACCCAAGGUUGACCUCGGAUCAGGUAGGAAGACCCGCUGAACUUAAGC
rnacentral:misc_RNA from 1 species